AGCAGCAAGGGACAGGGGCCUGCCCAGGAAUCCCAGUUCUUAGGCAUAAAAUGGCAAGAUGGACGUCGUCACAUCCCAGCAGAUGUGAUUGACAAAAUCACUGCUAUGUCUCCGCCCACAAAUAAAAACAGAGAGACCCAAUCUUUUUCUGGGAGUAGUGGGCUUUUGGAGAAUGCAUGUCCCAAACUACAGCCACAUAGUGAGCCCUCUCUAUCAGGUAACACGGAAGAAGAAUAAUUUCUCAUGGGGUCCUGGCAGCAGCAGGCUUUUGAGCAGAUAAAACAAGAAAAGCCCCGGCCGUGGCCUUGGGGCCAGUACGGACGGGACAGGAUGUGAAGAACAUCCUCUACACUGCUGCUGAGAGAAAGGUCCCACCUGGAGUUUGUGGCAAAGAAGCCUCAGGAGAGACCCGAGGCCGACCCCUAGGAUUUUGGAGUCGAGCUAUUAAAGGGUCUGAGGAGCGCUACACUCCAACUGAGAAGGAGAUCUUAGCCGUGUAUGAGGGGGUUCGGCUGCUUCUGAAGUAGUUGGGACAGAGGUUCAGCUUCUCUAGCACCCGCUUGCCAGACAUAAACUGGAAUGUUAAAGGACAGGGUUCCCUCCACCCAUAUGCUACUUAUGCCACUUGGAGUGAGUGGAUUUCAUUAAUUACUCAACGAGCUCGAAUGGGAAAACUCAGCCGUCCUGGAAUUCUAGAAAGUGAUCAUGGACUGGCCUGAGAGUAAAAAAAUUGAAACACCACCUACAGAAGAGGUAUCACGUGCUAAAGAGGCACCACCAUACAAUGAGCUACCAGAAAACGAAAAGAAAUUUGCCCUGUUCACAGACGGAUCAUGUCGUAUUGUAGGGAUUUGUAUGGAAUAAAUAUAGAUUGUUGAGAAAAAAUAAGGUUGCUGAUUAUUCACAAUUAUACAUAUAAGUGUGUAAGUAUGUAUAAAUAUAAUGUAAUGAUGUAGAAUAAGGGGUGGAAUGUCAUGGUUUAAUAAUUUUGUAAUUUUUGCUAUCAGUAUUCACAUCAUAACAUCAUAUUAAGCAUGAAUAAUUUUACUGAAUCUGCAACUUACAGAAGAAGACUACAUCUCCCAGAGAACAAACGAUAGGUCACGGGACCUGGACUCUAUAUAAACCUCUGUCGCAGAAACAGACUGAAGGUCUUUUCGAGUUCUGGCGUUCAGGGGAGUGUGUGCGGAGCCUUCAGCCGUUCGCCUAGAUUUCUACAGUAGCCUCUCGUUACGGGACUCAUUCUCUCUCCUAUUUUGCUUGAUUCGUUAGCUCAAUUUUCAAUUAUAUUUUAUUAUAUUGUGUUAUCCUGUAUUUCGAUAUAGUAUUUAGUAAAUAAGUGUGCCUCCUUAGAUCGUUGCCGCUGUUUUCUUUUCCUAAUUAAUUAACUUUUCUUUUCGGCCUAGGGCCCCUCCGGGGCCUGCGGCCCCUGUCACGGACGCAGGUGGAUUUUUAGUUCAAACCGUGACAACAUUAAAAUCAUAGAAAUAAUAACUACUGAUGAUUAAUCUUAAAUUUGGAGUCUGGGUAAGAAUUACUCCCAAGGAAAGCACAGCACUGACCCAGACACCAACACUAGAAGGAGUGUGUUCUCGAGUUGGAAAAAAAGGACCAGGAAAGUACACUGCAGGUGUUUUUGCAUUUAUCAGGUGAGCUGUUCAACAUCACCAGUUUGGGAGGAGCAAAAAAUUCAAGUCAAAUACACGGCCUUUAAAGCAAAACAAACAGCUCCUCUGAAAACUAUUGCUAUCAGAAAACUACUAGAAAACAUUUUGAUAAUCUGAAUUUCUUGUUUUCCUACUGUUACGUCCUCAUGUGCUUUCUAAAUCACUGUUUGCAAUCUUCAGUAAGAAAUGAAGAAGUC
rnacentral:lncRNA from 1 species